ACGGGUGCGUAACGCGUGGGAAUGUACCUAUUGGUUCGGAACAACUGAGGGAAACUUCAGCUAAUACCGAAUGUGCCCGUAAGGGGAAAGAUUUAUCGCCAAUGGAUCAGCCCGCGUAGGAUUAGCUAGUUGGUGGGGUAAUGGCCCACCAAGGCUCCGAUCCUUAGCUGUUCUGAGAGGAAGAUCAGCCACACUGGGACUGAGACACGGCCCAGACUCCUACGGGAGGCAGCAGUUGGGAAUCUUGGACAAUGGGGGAAACCCUGAUCCAGCCAUGCCGCGUGAGUGAUGAAGGCCUUCGGGUUGUAAAACUCUUUCGACGGGGACGAUAAUGACGGUACCCGUAGAAGAAGCUCCGGCUAACUUCGUGCCAGCAGCCGCGGUAAUACGAAGGGGGCUAGCGUUGUUCGGAAUUACUGGGCGUAAAGCGCGCGCAGGCGGCUAUCCAAGUCAGUGGUGAAAGCCCGGAGCUCAACUCCGGAACUGCCAUUGAAACUGUUUAGCUUGAGGACGAGAGAGGUGAGUGGAAUUCCCAGUGUAGAGGUGAAAUUCGUAGA
rnacentral:rRNA from 1 species